UACGGAGGGUGCUAGCGUUGUUCGGAAUCACUGGGCGUAAAGGGCGUGUAGGCGGUCUGUUAAGUCUGAUGUGAAAUCCCCAGGCUUAACCUGGGAACUGCGUCUGAUACUGGAUGGCUUGAAUUCGGGAGAGGGAUGCAGAAUUCCAGGUGUAGCGGUGAAAUGCGUAGAUAUCUGGAGGAAUACCGGUGGCGAAGGCGGCAUCCUGGACCGAGAUUGACGCUGAUGAGCGAAAGCUAGGGGAGCAAACGGG
rnacentral:rRNA from 1 species